CCUACGGGAGGCAGCAGUGGGGAAUAUUGCACAAUGGCGGAAACCCUGAUGCAGCGACGCCGCGUGAGUGAAGAAGUAUUUCGGUAUGGAAAGCUCUAUCAGCAGGGGAGAAAAGGACGGUACCUGAUUAAGAAGCCCCGGCUAACUACGUGCAAGCAGCCGCGGUAAUACGUAGGGGGAAAGCGUUAUCCGGAUUUACUGGGUGUAAAGGGAGCGUAGACGGCAGCACAAGUCUGGAGUGAAAUGCCGGGGCUUAACCCCGGAACUGCUGUGGAAACUGUGCAGCUAGAGUGCAGGAGAGGUAAGUGGAAUUCGUAGUGUAGCGGUGAAAUGCGUAGAUAUUAGGAGGAACACCAGUGGCGAAGGCGGCUUACUGGACUGUAACUGACGUUGAGGCUCGAAAGCGUGGGGAGCGAACAGGAUUAGAUACCCUAGUAGUC
rnacentral:rRNA from 1 species